rnacentral:rRNA from 1 species
GUGUCAGCCGCCGCGGUAAGACGGGGGGUGCAAGCGUUGUUCGGAAUCAUUGGGCGUAAAGCGCGUGCAGGUGGCUUUAUAAGUCAGAUGUGAAAGCCCCGGGCUUAACCCGGGAAGUGCAUUUGAAACUGUAAAGCUUGAGUAUGGAAGAGGGUCGUGGAAUUCCAGGUGUAGUGGUGAAAUACGUAGAUAUCUGGAGGAACACCGGUGGCGAAGGCGGCGACCUGGUCCAAUACUGACACUCAUACGCGAAAGCGUGGGGAUCAAACAGGAUUAGAUACCCUGGUAGUCC